GACGUAGGGCGCGAGCGUUGUCCGGAUUUAUUGGCCUUAAAGAGCGUGUAGGCGGCCGCACAGGUCCGUUGUGAAAACUGGAGGCUUAACCUCCAGACGUCGAUGGAAACCGUGCGGCUAGAGUCCGGAAGAGGAGAAUGGAAUUCCUGGUGUAGCGGUGAAAUGCGCAGAUAUCAGGAAGAACACCCGUGGCUAAGGCGGUUCUCUAGUACGGUACUGACGCUGAGACGCGAAAGCGUGGGGAGCGAACAGG
rnacentral:rRNA from 1 species